rnacentral:rRNA from 1 species
UGGGGAAUUUUGGACAAUGGGGGAAACCCUGAUCCAGCCAUCCCGCGUGUGCGAUGAAGGCCUUCGGGUUGUAAAGCACUUUUGGCAGGAAAGAAACGUCAUGGGUUAAUACCCCGUGAAACUGACGGUACCUGCAGAAUAAGCACCGGCUAACUACGUGCCAGCAGCCGCGGUAAUACGUAGGGUGCAAGCGUUAAUCGGAAUUACUGGGCGUAAAGCGUGCGCAGGCGGUUCGGAAAGAAAGAUGUGAAAUCCCAGAGCUCAACUUUGGAACUGCAUUUUUAACUACCGGGCUAGAGUGUGUCAGAGGGAGGUGGAAUUCCGCGUGUAGCAGUGAAAUGCGUAGAUAUGCGGAAGAACACCGAUGGCGAAGGCAGCCUCCUGGGAUAACACUGACGCUCAUGCACGAAAGCGUGGGGAGCAAACGGG